GUGAGGAAUAUUGGUCAAUGGACGGAAGUCUGAACCAGCCAUGCCGCGUGCAGGAAUAAGGUCCUAUGGAUUGUAAACUGCUUUUAUUCGGGAAUAAACCUCUUUACGUGUAGGGCGCUGAAGGUACCGAAGGAAUAAGCACCGGCUAACUCCGUGCCAGCAGCCGCGGUAAUACGGAGGGUGCAAGCGUUAUCCGGAAUCAUUUGGUCUAAAGGGUCCGCAGGCGGGCUAUCAAGUCAGAGGUGAAAUCACACAGCUUAACUGUGGAACUGCCGUUGAAACUGAUGGUCUUGAAUUAAGUGGGCGUUGGCGGAAUAUGACAUGUAGCGGUGAAAUGCAUAGAUAUGUCAUGGAACACCGAAAGCGAAGGCAGCUAACGAUACUUAUAUUGACGCUCAUGGACGAAAGCGUGGGUAGCGAACAGGAUUAGAUACCCCAGUAGUCC
rnacentral:rRNA from 1 species